UACGUAGGGUGCAAGCGUUGUCCGGAAUUAUUGGGCGUAAAGAGCUCGUAGGCGGUUUGUCGCGUCGAAUGUGAAAACCCGGGGCUCAACCCCGGGCCUGCAUUCGAUACGGGCAGACUAGAGUUCGGUAGGGGAGUCUGGAAUUCCUGGUGUAGCGGUGAAAUGCGCAGAUAUCAGGAGGAACACCGGUGGCGAAGGCGGGACUCUGGGCCGAUACUGACGCUGAGGCGCGAAGGUCAGGGGAGCAAACGGG
rnacentral:rRNA from 1 species